rnacentral:misc_RNA from 1 species
AUUAUAAAUUAACGUAGAAGAAAUCCAAAAUGGUCUGCCAUAAGAACAACUAAAAGUCCACACGCUUUAACCAGAAAAUUUCGAUUCACAUAUAAAUUAGCGACGGUCUCUUCCAAAUUCUGCAACAAACUUCACCAAUUUUUGUUCCUUUCUUGAUCACCAAAAUGAAAGGCACAACCCCGGAAUCCCAGCCCCUUUACCCUUCUAUCUCCUCUCACACACCAGAAGAGGCUGGCCCUUCAUCGACGAUCGCUCAAGAUGCAGAGAAUCAUCACCAUCAGCAUUCUUCGGCACCAUCAUCUUCGUCUCUGCAGCCUCCGAGCAAUGAGAGCAAUGAGAAGUACUGGGGGACUCAUGUCAUGGGGACACCUGCUAU